AGUUAUUUAUCUAAGAAAGAAUUAUGUUUUGAAACCAUAAAUUAGAGGUUUAAUUCCCCUAAUAACUU
rnacentral:tRNA from 1 species